ensembl:lncRNA
GUGUGUUAUGUCCUGAAAGCUCUUCUUUGCCUGUGUGGUUGAUUGUUGGAUUGGCUUGUGGAAUCUCUGUCUUUAUUAUUGUCCUGCUCUCGUUUUAUCACUUUAGAAAAAAAAAGGGUGAGACCUUUUCCUUGAUUCAAACUUCAAAAUUUAAAUGUAAAGAUAACUGCGACAUUUAUAACAGGGAAUUUUAUUUACAUUAACAGCGAAACAAUUGUCUUUUUUUACAGAUUCAGGCUUCAUCAGGUUGGUAUUUUUUUUAUUGUAGUAAAUAUAUUUAUUAACCUGCAAUGCAUGCGUUCAUCAGACUUUUUGCAUGUAAUUGUUAUGUUUUUAUUAUGCCAUACAGUCCAAUGACCACCACCAAUCAUGUAGUCAACCAGAGUGAAAUUCACAAACACAACUGUCUUGACCAUGGUGCAGGUGAAAUACACGAUGUUACAUACUCUGUAAUUCAGCUUAAACAUGUUGGAAAAAAGAUUUUUCAUAUGAUUAUCUAAAC